rnacentral:rRNA from 1 species
UCCGUAGGUGGAUAAUUAAGUCAGAGGUGAAAUCCUGCAGCUCAACUGUAGAAUUGCCUUUGAUACUGGUUAUCUUGAGUCAUUAUGAAGUGGUUAGAAUGUGUAGUGUAGCGGUGAAAUGCAUAGAUAUUACACAGAAUACCGAUUGCGAAGGCAGAUCACUAAUAAUGUACUGACACUGAGGCACGAAAGCGUGGGGAGCGAACAGGAUUAGAUACCCUGGUAGUCC